UGUAUAAUGGGUCAGCGACUUAUAUUCUGUAGCAAGGUUAACCGAAUAGGGGAGCCGAAGGGAAACCGAGUCUUAACUGGGCGUUAAGUUGCAGGGUAUAGACCCGAAACCCGGUGAUCUAGCCAUGGGCAGGUUGAAGGUUGGGUAACACUAACUGGAGGACCGAACCGACUAAUGUUGAAAAAUUAGCGGAUGACUUGUGGCUGGGGGUGAAAGGCCAAUCAAACCGGGAGAUAGCUGGUUCUCCCCGAAAGCUAUUUAGGUAGCGCCUCGUGAAUUCAUCUCCGGGGGUAGAGCACUGUUUCGGCAAGGGGGUCAUCCCGACUUACCAACCCGAUGCAAACUGCGAAUACCGGAGAAUGUUAUCACGGGAGACACACGGCGGGUGCUAACGUCCGUCGUGAAGAGGGAAACAACCCAGACCGCCAGCUAAGGUCCCAAAGUCAUGGUUAAGUGGGAAACGAUGUGGGAAGGCCCAGACAGCCAGGAUGUUGGCUUAGAAGCAGCCAUCAUUUAAAGAAAGCGUAAUAGCUCACUGGUCGAGUCGGCCUGCGCGGAAGAUGUAACGGGGCUAAACCAUGCACCGAAGCUGCGGCAGCGACGCUGAUGCGUUGUUGGGUAGGGGAGCGUUC
rnacentral:rRNA from 1 species